CCUACGGGGGGCAGCAGUGGGGAAUAUUGCACAAUGGGGGAAACCCUGAUGCAGCGACGCCGCGUGAGUGAGGAAGUAUUUCGGUAUGUAAAGCUCUAUCAGCAGGGAAGAAAAUGACGGUACCUGACUAAGAAGCCCCGGCUAACUACGUGCCAGCAGCCGCGGUAAUACGUAGGGGGCAAGCGUUAUCCGGAUUUACUGGGUGUAAAGGGAGCGUAGACGGUUAAUCAAGUCAGAAGUGAAAACCCGGGGCUCAACCUUGGGACUGCUUUUGAAACUGAGUAGCUAGAGUGCAGGAGAGGUAAGCGGAAUUCCUAGUGUAGCGGUGAAAUGCGUAGAUAUUAGGAGGAACACCAGUGGCGAAGGCGGCUUACUGGACUGUAACUGACGUUGAGGCUCGAAAGCGUGGGGAGCAAACAGGAUUAGAUACCCCGGUAGUC
rnacentral:rRNA from 1 species